rnacentral:rRNA from 1 species
GAUCCUGGCUCGGGAUGAACGCUGGCGGCGUGCUUAACACAUGCAAGUCGAACGAAGGCACUUAAGAUUGAUUCUUCGGAUGAAGUCUUUGUGACUGAGUGGCGGACGGGUGAGUAACGCGUGGGUAACCUGCCUCAUACAGGGGGAUAACAGUUAGAAAUGACUGCUAAUACCGCAUAAGCGCACAGGGUCGCAUGACCUGGUGUGAAAAACUCCGGUGGUAUGAGAUGGACCCGCGU